UGAUGCACACGAGUUUCCUCACGCCCACCAGCUUUCUGCUCCGUCUCAGCUGGCUCCUUCCCGAUCAGAGCAGGAGGGGGUGUGCCUGUUUAUUGUGACAGGGGGCUCAGGGCUCUCGAGUUUGAUCAAAACAGGAGCCGUGCGGUUUUGCUCGAGGUCGCGUCCUUUCGAGAGGAAUGACAGAAGAUGAAAGGCACGACCUCCCUUUUUUUUUACGGCCGGGGCUGAAGGGGGCUAAGCUACACACCUGGUGGGGAAACCAACACCGUUUUGAUGUUGGGUGUUUGUGCGUGUUCGCUGUUGUCUUUGAAGACAACCAACCACCGGGACGCAUGAUCAAUCUCAGCCCUCAGAAGUGAACAGGUUUUUUUUUUGUCCGCUCCCUUAUCAAUCCAAUAUCAACCAGAAAUUUCCAGUUGGGUGCCCCCCCCCCCAGCUCGCAAUAAUUCGUGCACUGUUGACAUAACCCCCCCACACACAGGCCCAGGCCAGCUGAUAAAACUGUGGAGUAAAACUAAAGGUCAAGUUCGUACGCGAAACACUAUGCGCACUAACUUCCAGUUCACCAACAGUUUUCCCUGCGCAGUUACGCACGGUAUAAAACAAACAACACGUUGCACAAGUGCAGCUGGUACUGAGGCGCUACACACACACACACAGGCAGGCAGGCAGACUCCGGUGGAAAUGUGUUGCUGUCGAGACACAACCCGGCUCUGCUCUUACCUCCGAAGAGAUGCGGCGAAAGUCUGCCUUAGAGCUCUGGGGUCUGUGCUGAGUACACUGUGAGGGUGUGAGGAUUUCUAGUCUGUAACAAGUGCUGGAACGACAAACUGGAAGAAUAUGUGUCAGGCAUUCCUGAGAGCGCUGCACCAGGCCACCGUGAAAAACUACAGCUGAAAGAAAUCACUCUUUGGCUUCGCUAUCCCAGAAAAAAAAAAAAAACAGGAAAAAAAACUCUGUCAGAGUGGAUGAGUCACCUUGGAAAAUAACAACAAGCUGGAACAGAGAAUCCAUGAGGGCCAAGCGAAUACAGAACACGUAGAAGCUAGCAAUUCAGAAAGGGUGACGGGUCAAUUUCAUCCGAAACCUUCGGACCUUGUGCCUCUAUCCCACUGUUCACCUAGGGCCAUGAUCAUCUCUAACCAGUCUCAGCUCUGUGCUCAGCGCCAGCAGGGAUUCUCUAGCCUUUAGAAAGUACUGCAAGACUGGAAACAGUCAUUUGGUUUCAGGCUGAAAAGAGAAAAACACUUUAACCAAAGCAGAUGCUAGAACAAGAUAUUUGCAAUUCCCAUCUGUUCCUGUCAGAGCUGGAGGACACCACUACAAAAUUCAUGAACCAAUAUGUCAGAAAAAGCGCUCUGGACCGAACUGCAGAGACCGAAUCACGCCCGAAGAAAAACAGAACACAGCUCGUGGACGAACACGGGCUUCGACGAGUUCUGGCAGCUCUCAGGAAGAACCUCUACAUUUCAGUACAGCAUUUCCCCUCUUAAGUGACAGCCAUUAUGUACCUUUCACUUUCAAAUCUUUUUAAAUUUAGUCCCUUUGUUAUCUCAGGGGUACGGUAUUUUUUAGGACAUGACAUCCUUUUUUUUGGGACUUUGUGGGUCUUUGUCCUUGGACCCCUAGAGGUUUUUUUUCUCCUUACUAAGGAGUCUUUGGUUCCUCUCCUCCGUUGUCUUCUGGUCUUUUCU